rnacentral:rRNA from 1 species
AACGAACGCUGGCGGCAUGCCUAACACAUGCAAGUCGAACGAAGGCUUCGGCCUUAGUGGCGCACGGGUGAGUAACACGUGGGAAUUUGCCUUUCGGUUCGGAAUAACGUUGGGAAAAAGACGCUAACACCGGAUACGCCCUUCGGGGGAAAGUUUACGCCGAGAGAGAAGCCCGCGUCCGAUUAGGUAGUUGGUGAGGUAAAGGCCCACCAAGCCGACGAUCGGUAGCUGGUCUGAGAGGAUGAUCAGCCACACUGGGACUGAGACACGGCCCAGACUCCUACGGGAGGCAGCAGUGGGGAAUAUUGGACAAUGGGGGCAACCCUGAUCCAGCAAUGCCGCGUGAGUGAUGAAGGCCUUAGGGUUGUAAAGCUCUUUCGCACGCGACUAUGAUGACGGUAGCGUGAGAAGAAGCCCCGGCUAACUUCGUGCCAGCAGCCGCGGUAA